CGUUACUAUAAUUGUUGUGUGUAGUGAGAUUUAAGUCGUUUCACUUUCUGUUUGCCCACUUGAUACGUACCAAGUCCUAGACAGACAAGGGGGUAAUACUAACGCCAACAUGGUGAAACAUCUCCUAAUGUGUGUUAUUGCUGUUACAUUUUUCUUCUAUGUUAUCUGUUCCGGCCUAUCAGAGACAGACCCCUGCAGUAAAACCUGCUUUUUUAUUCUAUCCCCCGUAUGUGGCAGCGACGGUCAGACCUACAGGAACCAGUGUAGCCUGGAAAUAGAAGCCUGCAGGCAUCCUGAGUUAAACAUCACGGCAGUUAAGAUGGGAAUCUGCUAGUUGUCAGGUGGUCUGAAUGUGUAUAAAUAGAGGAAGUGGCUUUGUUAUUUACGUCAUAUAGAUCUAGUUCUCAUAAUUUGUGAAUGUGUAUAGAGUAAUCAGCUUCUUUAUAUACUGAAUAUAGAUCUAGUUCUCAGAAUGUUAAAUUUGUUUACAUGAAGAAGGUAGCUUUGUUAGUUACAGCAGGAUAUUAUUGUUUAUCAUUUGUUAUAUCCCCAAGCUUGCAUCAAUCUACAAAUUAGUGAUUCCAUACUUUAAAAAAUUAUAUCAAUUCGCAUUUGGUUUUUUUUUUUACUUUUUUUAAAAAGUACA